CCUACGGGCGACUGCAGUCGAGAAUCAUUCACAAUGGGGGAAACCCUGAUGGUGCGACGCCGCGUGGGGGAAUGAAGGUCUUCGGAUUGUAAACCCCUGUCAUGUGGGAGCAAAUUAAAAAGAUAGUACCACAAGAGGAAGAGACGGCUAACUCUGUGCCAGCAGCCGCGGUAAUACAGAGGUCUCAAGCGUUGUUCGGAAUCACUGGGCGUAAAGCGUGCGUAGGCUGUUUCGUAAGUCGUGUGUGAAAGGCCGGGGCUCAACCCGCGGACGGCACAUGAUACUGCGAGACUAGAGUAAAGAAGGGGGGACCGGAAUUCUCGGUGUAGCAGUGAAAUGCGUAGAUAUCGAGAGGAACACUCGUGGCGAAGGCGGGUUCCUGGACAUUAACUGACGCUGAGGCACGAAGGCCAGGGGAGCGAAAGGGAUUAGAUACCCCUGUAGUC
rnacentral:rRNA from 1 species